ensembl:lncRNA
AACUUGCAUUUGAUAUGCAACAAUUGAUGCUAUUAAUCCAGCAAAUAAAACUGUAUACUGUAUGUUACAGCAUUUUUUUCUGCUAUUUUUAAGCUUUCUAACAGAACUACAUCCAGCAAUGAUAUCACUCGAAAGGAUACAUCUAGAGUAGAGCAUUCUUGCAGGUACAAUUUACAAACUCGAUAAAAAAAAAAAAAAAAUUUAAAUGUACAAAACAGACAAGGAGCUUGAGAAAAAAUGCUGACACUGAGAAAGACCUAUUGCCCCUGGGGUAAUCUCAAAUGGCACAUGAACAUUAUUCUAGACCUCCACUAUAGGAAAUAGGAAAGUACUGAAAGCCAUCAGUUCUAAAUGUAGCACAUAAUACUCACACCCACCAUGGAGCCAUGUAUCCUGUGGCUUCAAAUGCUUGCUCCCUAUAGGCUGUUAGGUGAUUUGAUGAGGUGCUCAGACACCAGCGUUUCUUAAGCACAAGUGGGAAAAGAGAGCCUAUACCCAUUCAUACGCUCUGUGCAAUGAGGCUGGUGAAAUAUGUUUUCUUCUGCAGAUUACUGAACAGCAGGGGAUAGAGAGCAGAACAGAGGCCAUGAUCCUAGUUCUUCAUUCUUGAAUACGAUGCAGAGGAAACAGUGGAGGAUGCUGGGAGAGAAAUACAACAUAUGUAAAGAGCAUAUAUUGAGAGAAUACACAGCUGGACUGCAUGUACUGUAGGAGAAGGAGAAGGAGUUGAAGGUGGAGCUGGAGCCUGUCCCAGGAACACUGGACAUCAUGUGGGAAUACACUCGGAAUGGAUUGCCAGUCCAUCGCAAGACACCAUGCAUACACACAUUCACACACAAUUUAAUGCAGCUAAUUCACCUACCAGCAUGUUUUUGGAGAUGGAAGAAAUUAGAGGAAACCCACAUAGAGAAUAUGCAAAUCUCUGCAGGUUUUAAAAUCAGACCAACUGUAAAUGAUACAUUAUGCUCAAGCCCAGGAAGCUAGGAAGAUGCAUUGUUUUUUUGCUUUGUUUUAUUUUUAACAGUGGAAUUACACAAGAUUUUGAACUUUGUGGUUUUGACUUCCAGGUACAUGCGACACUUUUGCCAGCAGCAAAAAGAUCCAAUUAAUAAAUGCCACAAUUCCAGAAACAAAGCAAUACUUCUACACUCCUAAACUCAGAUUCACUAAGCAUGCAUUCCUACUAGCCAUAUUAAUUUCCGCAGUCAUUUUAGUAAAUUUAGACUUUAAAAGAGCUGCAUGUAAGGUCUUCCUUCCAAACCAAACAGAACAGUAGACCUCUUUACAAUGAUGGGCUGUUUUUUUCCACUUGAUGGGUUUAACAACAGGGUAGAGACUCUGUAGAAGUCUCCAGUACAGGAUGUUGUUAACUUAAAUAUCCUUUCCCUGAUAUAUCAUUCAAAUUUCCUAUAUACAGUAUGCAU